AUGAUCCUGUCUGGGUGUAGAGUUGUAAUAUAAUGAUCCUGUCUGGGUGGUAGAGUUGUAAUAUAAGGAUCCUGUCUGGAUGGUAGAGUUGUAAUAUAAUGAUCCAGUCUGGAUGGUAGAGUUGUAAUAUAAUGAUCCAGUCUGGAUGGUAGAGUUGUAAUAUAAGGAUCCUGUCUGGGUGGUAGAGUUGUAAUAUAAUGAUUCUGUCUGGAUGGUACAGUUGUGUGUGGUUGGGCGGAGGAAUCAGAAGAUGUUUGUGGUCGAUGGCGUCAGCGUAGGACAGUGUGAUGUUGAAAUGUGUUGUGUGCUGUUGCUAAGUGUCCUGCCCACUGCCACCUUCCAGCAUGACUGGGCUGUUUUGUAGUCCUUUACUGCUCGUUUUCAUGCAUGAUCCCAAAUGGCACCCUAUUCCCUAUGUAGUGCAGCACCCUAUUCCCUAAAGUAGUGCACUAUAUAGGAAAUAGGGUGCCAUUUGGGACACAGGCGUGGUCUCCGGCACACUGGUACGGUAUUCAUGCAUGAUUCAACAAUGUGUUUUAUACAUCUCAAACCUACAGUUUUGUCAAUAGACAUUUAUCAGGGAUUUCAUUUCUAUUUCAAACACUGAGUUUGUUCCUCCGUGCAGGUAGAUUUGCAGUACAGGUGUGCUAACAGUCCUCUUUUCAGCAGGUUAACAUCACACACUGAGUUUGUUCCAUCGUGCAGGUAGAUUUGCAGUACAGGUGUGCUAACAGUCCUCUUUUCAGCAGGUUAACAUCAAACAUGCUUCCUGCCCUCAGAGCAUCACACACACACACACACACACACACACACACACACACACACACACACACACACUCACACACUCUCACACACACACACACUCUCACACACACACUCUCACACACACUCUCUCUCACACACACGCAGACACACACACACUCUCACACACACACUCUCUCACACACACACACUCUCACACACACACUCUCUCACACACACACACACUCUAACUCACAAACGCUUCUCUGCACAGAUUCUCUUUUUUAUUAAAAGCUGUAAUAUAUUGAUAACGUCCCAAAUGGUUCCCUAUUCCCUAUAUAGUGCACUACUUUUGAUAGGGCCCUGGUCAGAAGUAGGUAACAGGGUACCAUUUGAGAUGCGCCGUACUCACUAGGCGGUACCACAUGCCCGAGCCACCCAGAGUUUUAACUUCACAGAAGGAAUGUGCCCCGGACAGAUUGUUGUGCUUAUCGUUGCGCCGCCCAGGCCUGACGUUUUUUUAUUUUAUUUUCUAUUUGCUAUUGCUGGUUUCCAUAGAAACAUAAUCUGUCCGUCUUUCUCGGUAGUAGUGGGCUGGUCAGCAGGCCUACCGGUCGUUUGUUGCAGUCGUCACAGUAACGGCGUGGAGCACAACACGAGACUGGAAUGCACAGUUACGCUGCUGUUUCUGAUGGCAUUUACUGACCUGUAGACCUCUCCUUCCUGUUCACCCUCCACUCCACUCUUCCCUCCCUCCCUCUAUCCUCCACCCCCCUCUUCCCUCCCACCAUUCAUCCCUCCAUCCUCCCCUCUUCCCACCAUCCUCCAUCCAUCCCUCCAUCCUCCACCCCCCUCUUCCAUCCAUCCCUCUAUCCUCCUCUUCCC
rnacentral:lncRNA from 1 species